GGGGAAUAUUGGACAAUGGGCUAAAGCCUGAUCCAGCAAUGCCGCGUGUGUGAAGAAGAUCUUCGGAUUGUAAAGCACUUUCGGCGGGGACGAUGAUGACGGUACCCGCAGAAGAAGCCCGGCUAACUUCGUGCCAGCAGCCGCGGUAAUACGAGGGGGGCUAGCGUUGCUCGGAAUGACUGGGCGUAAAGGGCGCGUAGGCGGUUUUCCAAGUUAGAUGUGAAAUUCCUGGGCUCAACCUGGGGACUGCAUUUGAUACUGGGAGGCUUGAGUGUGGAAGAGGGUCGUGGAAUUCCCAGUGUAGAGGUGAAAUUCGUAGAUAUUGGGAAGAACACCGGUGGCGAAGGCGGCGACCUGGUCCAUAACUGACGCUGAGGCGCGAAAGCGUGGGGAGCAAA
rnacentral:rRNA from 1 species